GACGAACGCUGGCGGCGUGCUUAACACAUGCAAGUCGAACGGAAAGGCCCUGCUUGCAGGGUACUCGAGUGGCGAACGGGUGAGUAACACGUGGGUGAUCUGCCCUGCACUUCGGGAUAAGCCUGGGAAACUGGGUCUAAUACCGGAUAGGAGCCAUUUUUAGUGUGAUGGUUGGAAAGUUUUUUCGGUGUAGGAUGAGCUCGCGGCCUAUCAGCUUGUUGGUGGGGUAAUGGCCUACCAAGGCGGCGACGGGUAGCCGGCCUGAGAGGGUGGACGGCCACAUUGGGACUGAGAUACGGCCCAGACUCCUACGGGAGGCAGCAGUGGGGAAUAUUGCACAAUGGGCGCAAGCCUGAUGCAGCGACGCCGCGUGGGGGAUGACGGCCUUCGGGUUGUAAACUCCUUUCGCUAGGGACGAAGCUUUUUGUGACGGUACCUAGAUAAGAAGCACCGGCUAACUACGUGCCAGCAGCCGCGGUAAUACGUAGGGUGCGAGCGUUGUCCGGAAUUACUGGGCGUAAAGGGCUCGUAGGUGGUUUGUCGCGUCGUCUGUGAAAUUCCGGGGCUUAACUCCGGGCGUGCAGGCGAUACGGGCAUAACUUGAGUACUGUAGGGGUAACUGGAAUUCCUGGUGUAGCGGUGAAAUGCGCAGAGAUAUGGAGGAACACCGAUGGCGAAGGCGACUUUCUGGGCAGUUACUGACGCUGAUGUGCGAAAGCGUGGGGAUCAAACAGGAUUAGAUACCCUGGUAGUCCACGCCGUAAACGAUGAGUGCUAAGUGUUAGGGGGUUUCCGCCCCUUAGUGCUGCAGCUAACGCAUUAAGCACUCCGCCUGGGGAGUACGACCGCAAGGUUGAAACUCAAAGGAAUUGACGGGGACCCGCACAAGCGGUAGAGCAUGUGGUUUAAUUCGAAGCAACGCGAAGAACCUUACCAAAUCUUGACAUCCUUUGACAACUCUAGAGAUAGAGCUUUCCCCUUCGGGGGACAAAGUGACAGGUGGUGCAUGGUUGUCGUCAGCUCGUGUCGUGAGAUGUUGGGUUAAGUCCCGCAACGAGCGCAACCCUUAAGCUUAGUUGCCAUCAUUAAGUUGGGCACUCUAAGUUGACUGCCGGUGACAAACCGGAGGAAGGUGGGGAUGACGUCAAAUCAUCAUGCCCCUUAUGAUUUGGGCUACACACGUGCUACAAUGGACAAUACAAAGGGUAGCGAAACCGCGAGGUCAAGCAAAUCCCAUAAAGUUGUUCUCAGUUCGGAUUGUAGUCUGCAACUCGACUAUAUGAAGCUGGAAUCGCUAGUAAUCGUAGAUCAGCAUGCUACGGUGAAUACGUUCCCGGGUCU
rnacentral:rRNA from 1 species